UGAGGAAUAUUGGUCAAUGGACGGAAGUCUGAACCAGCCAAGUAGCGUGCAGGAUGACGGCCCUAUGGGUUGUAAACUGCUUUUGUAUGGGGAUAAAGUUAGGGACGUGUCCCUAUUUGCAGGUACCAUACGAAUAAGGACCGGCUAAUUCCGUGCCAGCAGCCGCGGUAAUACGGAAGGUCCAGGCGUUAUCCGGAUUUAUUGGGUUUAAAGGGAGCGUAGGCUGGAGAUUAAGUGUGUUGUGAAAUGUAGACGCUCAACGUCUGAAUUGCAGCGCAUACUGGUUUCCUUGAGUACGCACAACGUUGGCGGAAUUCGUCGUGUAGCGGUGAAAUGCUUAGAUAUGACGAAGAACUCCGAUUGCGAAGGCAGCUGACGGGAGCGCAACUGACGCUUAAGCUCGAAGGUGCGGGUAUCAAACAGGAUUAGAUACCCUGGUAGUCCGCACAGUAAACGAUGGAUGCCCGCUGUUGGUACCUGGUAUCAGCGGCUAAGCGAAAGCAUUAAGCAUCCCACCUGGGGAGUACGCCGGCACGGU
rnacentral:rRNA from 1 species